CCUACGGGAGGCAGCAGUGAGGAAUAUUGGUCAAUGGGCGAGAUCCUGAACCAGCCAAGCCGCGUGAGGGAGGACGGUCCUAUGUGUUGUAAACCUCUUUUGUCGGGGAACAAAGCCCGGGACGUGUCCCCGCCUGCGUGUAUCCGAAGAAAAAGCAUCGGCUAACUCCGUGCCAGCAGCCGCGGUAAUACGGAGGAUGCGAGCGUUAUCCGGAUUUGUUGGGUUAAAGGGGUGCGUAGGCGGUCCGUUAAGUCCGCGGUAAAAUCGCGGGGCUAAACCCCGUCCAGCCGUUGAAACUGGCAGACUGGAGUGGGCGAGAAGUAUGCGGAAUGCGCGGUGUAGCGGUGAAAUGCAUAGAUAUCGCGCAGAACUCCGAUUGCGAAGGCAGCAUACCGGAGCCAGACUGACGCUGAGGCACGAAAGCGUGGGGAUCGAACAGGAUUAGAUACCCCAGUAGUC
rnacentral:rRNA from 1 species